CAGGUCUCUACUCCGUCC
rnacentral:miRNA from 1 species